ACGGAGGAUCCAAGCGUUAUCCGGAAUCAUUGGGUUUAAAGGGUCCGUAGGCGGUUUGGUAAGUCAGUGGUGAAAGCCCAUCGCUUAACGAUGGAACGGCCAUUGAUACUGCCAGACUUGAAUUAUUGUGAAGUAACUAGAAUAUGUAGUGUAGCGGUGAAAUGCUUAGAUAUUACAUGGAAUACCAAUUGCGAAGGCAGGUUACUAACAAUAUAUUGACGCUGAUGGACGAAAGCGUGGGGAGCGAACAGG
rnacentral:rRNA from 1 species